rnacentral:rRNA from 1 species
AGCGAACGCUGGCGGCAGGCCUAACACAUGCAAGUCGAACGGACCCUUCGGGGUUAGUGGCGGACGGGUGAGUAACACGUGGGAACGUGCCUUUAGGUUCGGAAUAGCUCCUGGAAACGGGUGGUAAUGCCGAAUGUGCCCUUCGGGGGAAAGAUUUAUCGCCUUUAGAGCGGCCCGCGUCUGAUUAGCUAGUUGGUGAGGUAACGGCUCACCAAGGCGACGAUCAGUAGCUGGUCUGAGAGGAUGACCAGCCACACUGGGACUGAGACACGGCCCAGACUCCUACGGGAGGCAGCAGUGGGGAAUCUUGCGCAAUGGGCGAAAGCCUGACGCAGCCAUGCCGCGUGAAUGAUGAAGGUCUUAGGAUUGUAAAAUUCUUUCACCGGGGACGAUAAUGACGGUACUCGGAGAAGAAGCCCCGGCUAACUUCGUGCCAGCCGCCGCCGUAA